rnacentral:lncRNA from 1 species
UCUGAUACCACAUGUUAAUUAAUUUUAUGAUUUCAGUUAUGAAAUCUACACCCAAGACCAUAUUCUAGUUUAGAUUAAUUCAACCCUAAUACUUUCGAGAGAAGAAAGAAGAAACACUAACCUUAAUUCAUUCGUAUUUGGAUCAAUCCUCAUGUUGAUCUUCUCCCCUUUAACCUUCUCUUUAGUGAUUUCUUUGAUGGACAAGAAAUCCUAAUCCUUUCACUCAUUCUCUUAACCAAUGAUAUUAUUGUGGUGUCUUUCUAAGAGAAGUAACUCUCUCUUUCUUACUCACGUAAG